rnacentral:lncRNA from 1 species
UGGUGCUUAUUUCAGUCCAUAUAAUGCUUUCUUCAACUGACAAACAUAGUGCGGAAACUGUUUGGAGAUGAACCCUUGGGGUUGUUCCAUGAAGAUAUCAUGAUCUGAUUCUCCAUAAAGAAAUGCAUUUUUCACAUCAAGUUACCACAACUUCCAAUUUUUAAAGGCAGCAAGUGAAAAAAUUGACCUGGGAGUCACCAUUUUUGCUAUUGGACCGAAGGAUUCUUCAUAAUCUAAGCCAUAACUUUGAGAGAAACCACGAGUUACGAGAUUAGAUUUAUACCUAUCAAUUGACCCAUCUAUUUUCUUCUUCAAUUUGUAAACCCAUUUACAAGUGACAGGCUCACAAUUUUUUGGUUUUGACACAAGAUUCCAUGUCUCAUUUUUGCCCAAUGCUUCAAUUUCUUCUUACAUUGCCAUUUCGCAUUCUGGACAACCUUUAGCUGCAUAAUAGCAUGCUGGUUCUUCUUCAUUUAAUGCCCCCAGUAUAAAAACAUGAAGCCACAGUGCAUUGAUUUAGCUGCACUUCGUAGUCUUUUAGGUACUCCGGUUGUUUUUUCUCCUUUGUUGGUCUUUUUAUCUAUUCUCAUUCUUUUGAGUUUGAAGUUGCUAACUCUUAGGAAUUAUCAUUAUUAGAUGGUUGCACAUUGAUAGGAGGUAGCUCCAAACUAUCUUGAUCAUCAUCAGAAAUAGCAUCUUUGAUAGUAAGAUUUUGACUAGCUUGUAAUGUUGAAACCUCAUCGAACACCACAUGUCGAGAAGUAACAAACUUCUUUGUCUGGAUCCAUACAUCUCCAUCCUUUCCUAUGUGCAUCAUGGCCAACAAAUACACAUUUCUUUGUUUUCGGGUCAAGUUUAGUUCGACUACCUUUAAGAAUAUGAACAUAGCAAAUCGAUCCAAAAGAAGAUUUUUCUUUAACUGGCCAUGGAGGUAAUCAAUUGCUCACAUGACAUGCACAUUGAAUAGCCUCUGCCCAAGGCUCUCGUGGAAGAUUUUUAUUAUGCAGCCAUGAUAAGCUUGUUGAAGCAAGAUGCCCCAAUUUUCUUUCUGCAACCCCAUUUUGUUGGGGGUAUUAGGACACAUCAUUUGUCGUUGAAUUCCAUUAUUAUCACGGUAUUGAAAGAAGUCACUUGAUAUGUAUUCAUGGCCACUGUCACUCUUCAAAUAUGUUAUUUUUCUCCCAAACUAUGUCUUUAUAGUUUUCUGAAAAUCAACAAACUUGGUUAGUGUCUCACUCUUUUCUUUCAGAAAAUAUACCCAAGUGUACCUUGAAUACUCAUCUACCCACACCAUUACAUAAUAAUAUCCACUAUAACUAGGUGUUCUUGUAGGUCCCAUCAAAUCUAUAUUCACCAAUUCAAACAAGGCUGACCUUUGGUUUGAUGAAUGUUUGAAAAGAAGGAGAUGUGAUUUGCCAUAUUGACAUCCUUGACAGACCACAUUUUUAUGUACAUCUUUCAAAGUUGGAAUUCCAUCUACUAAUUUCUUUUAGGAGAUUUACUGCAACAUUUGAUAGCCUAGGUGGCCUAAUCAAGCAUGUCAUAUUGUUGCAUUCUUAGUUUGGCUUGUCUUCUUUACAUAUGCCUCCCCUGCUGACAUUACGAACAAGAAACCUUAUUUCUCACCAGCAAUGACAAUGAGCUGCUAGAUUUCUCACAAGAUCAAGUAUCUUCACAUCAUUUGGCCCAAACAAAACAUACGUUCCAGAAUCAGUAAUUUGAGAAAUAGAAACCAAGUUUUUCUUUAAACCUGGGACGUGAUACAAAUCAUUCAACAUGACACUUUUGGCCUUUGCAUCAUCAGCAACCUUAAUCUUCACAACUCCUUCUUUUGCUACUGGGUAAGUUGAAUUAUCAACCUUGACAAUUACUCAUUCCCCAUUAUGCUAUCGUAAACCUAAAAGUGAUGAAUCAUUGCCGGUCACAUGAUAUGAGUAGCCAGAAUCAAUGAUCCAAUAAUCAUUAAGAGCACCACCAUCACUUUCAAUUGUUUCAGUAGUAAAACAUUGCUCCCACUUGAGUUGAUCACCUUCUUCAUCUUCAAUUGCAAUGCUUGCUUUGGAAAGCUUCACGUGACAAUAUUUCUUUAUAUGUCCAAUUUUCCCACAUGUAUAGCAUUUGAUCAAGUUUUUUCUUCGUGGACUGUCAUCAUUAUCCUUCUGUUUAGACUUUCAUUUUGAUAAAAAAGCAACAUCUAAUUCAAGAUUUCAUUUGCUGGACAUUUGCUUAGCCGAUGACUCUUGAUUGGAGAACAAAUUCUCUAACUCCUCAACUAAUGGUUGAGUUGCCCAUCCUUGGGUGGAGGUAACAAAAGGAGAAUAUUAUCA